GACGAACGCUGGCGGCGUGCUUAACACAUGCAAGUCGAACGGAAAGGCCCUGCUUGCAGGGUAUUCGAGUGGCGAACGGGUGAGUAACACGUGGGUGAUCUGCCCUGCACUUCGGGAUAAGCCUGGGAAACUGGGUCUAAUACCGGAUAGGAGCCAUUUUUAGUGUGAUGGUUGGAAAGUUUUUUCGGUGUAGGAUGAGCUCGCGGCCUAUCAGCUUGUUGGUGGGGGAAUGGCCUACCAAGGCGGCGACGGGUAGCCGGCCGGAGAGGGUGGACGGCCACAUUGGGACUGAGAUCGGGCCCAGACUCCUACGGGAGGCAGCCGUGGGGAAUAUUGCACAAUGGGCGCAAGCCUGAUGCCGCGACGCCGCGUGGGGGAUGACGGCCUUCGGGUUGUAAACUCCUUUCGCUAGGGACGAAGCUUUUUGUGACGGUACCUAGAUAAGAAGCACCGGCUAACUACGUG
rnacentral:rRNA from 1 species